GCUUCGGUGGCCUAGUGGCUAGAGCGUCCGCCUCGGACGUGGGAGGUCGUGGGUUCGAUUCCCCGGCAGAGUCA